GCAUCCACAACCUCUCUGGGCAACCUGUUCCAGUGCCUCACCACCCUCUGAGUGAAAAACUUCCUCCUAAUAUCUAACCUAAAUCUCCCAUCUUAGUUUAAAACCUUUCCCCAUUGUUCUAUCGCUAUCAACACAUGUAAACAGUGGUUUCCCCUCCUGUUUAUACACUCCCUUGAAGUACUGUAGUGGCGUCCUGUGAGCAAGCGAGGUAGUGAGACAACCAGCAGACAGCAUGUGUGGAACAGGAGGCCAAAAUGAGUGUAUUCUGGUUGCUCUUGUUAUGGCAGUGUAGAUCAUGUGGUGGGUGAGGUGAACCUGUGGUUCAGAAGACCAAGUAUUAUCUCCUAAAUAAGGAAGCAGCAGUGUACUGUCAAUGUGCAACUUUCCAUGGCGGUUGCCCAAACCUUUCUUUUUCUGUGCUCCUUCCUCGCCUGUAUUUCCAUCAGAAAGUACACGGAUGUUGUAAAUCCCCCCAAAUAUUAGUGUGCUCUGUACUUUUCCCUAGUUUGAGGAUUCAACCUCUUACUCCUCAGUUAUGGUCUCUUCUACGUUCUUCCUUUUAAAGCAGAUACUAGUCACUGCUGCUCCUGGUAGGUUUUUAGUUUGUUAGGGUGCUAUUGUAUAUGUAUAAAUCAUUUGUAUCUGUUGAGGAUUCCCCUGGGUUAUGUUUUGGGUAUGUCUUCAGGAGGGUUUAUCAACACUCAAUUCCAGGUCAUAAACUAAUUUUUCAAUGCUUUUGUAACUAAUUGCACAGAGGAGAUGAUGCAUCUAGCAUAGGGCAGGUGACAACACCCAUGUGAAAUGGCUUUUAUGAAAAUUUUCUAAUCAAAAUGUGAGCACAGUAGAAUGGUUAUGAAGUGUUUGGCAGUGUUGCUUUCUGUAUUGCUGAAGCUGAAUAUUAAAAAGAUUUGAAAUCUCAUCUGGACAAAUUGGCAUGAUUUAGGAGUUUUUAUAAUACAACAGUCCCAUUUGAAGUCAAAUGGAGGAUACUGUUCAAAUGCAAAACCUGACAGUGUCUUUGUUCAUAUGUAGUAGAAUACUGUUGAAGUCAAAGGAAGAUUACUCAACUGAAUAAAAUUUCUGGGUCAGGAUCUAUAUUUGCAUGAAUGAAUAUAUGUAAAAACAAGAAUUUACAUUUCAAGGAUUCUGUGGUUAUUAUUCUCAGGUAACACAGAUAUCUUGCCUUUUACAAUGCUAGCUAAUCUUUUUAAUGUGAAACAUCCUAAAUGAAGGACCUCACUUAGCCAGGCAGCAUCCUGUUUUUCAGCAGUCUGUGAAGAGGAAGGUUCCUGAGGCAAUGGGCUGCACACCUACGCUGGCUUCUGCUCUGACUGAGUCUUGAAUGAGUGUCUGCACUGGCUACAGAGACUUAAGGAGACUUUUAGUGGGCAAAAUGAAGGCAUCUCUGCUCAGCUGGACACAACAGAGCAACAUAUUUGAACUGCAGAAUUUGUUUCACUGCUUUUCUCACUGUCAUUCAUACUGCCCACAUUUUCUCUUUCAAUGUAUUUUUUUUUCCUGUAAACUACUGAUCCCUAUUGAAAGGGUAAAUUCAGCUUGAACGUAAUUUCUAGCAUGAACAACUUUCUGGCAUACCUUUUUCUCAAGGCUCACUGAGCAGUGGGAAAGAAUAUUUUAAAAAGCAGUCUUUGAAUGAUGCCUUAUUCAUUAUACUAAAUAGCUCAUUCAUUUACUAAUCUCACCACUUCUAACUACUGUUAGCACAUUAUACACACUUUCUGACUCAUGAAGGAAGAAAAUAGAGAGAAGUGGACUGUGCUGUUUGUGCCUGGUGCACAUCAGUGGCAGCAGGAUGAACAGGAGUUCAGAUAUCUCUCUAAUGGAUUCCAUUAAAGAAAGAAACUGCUUUAUAUGAAAAUGCAUGUAGGGCUGCACGUUAUAUGCAUAGUUCAGAGCCAGAAAGGCUGGGGUGUUCUGUUUGUAUGUACCUGGUUGCUUCCUGCUUGUCUCACUGCUGCUAUUCUCCCAUGUGCUUCUAUAACCCAUCCCAAGAAACACACCUGUGCUGUGGCUGCUUCUCAGACACCACUAGCAGAAGGGGGACAAACUGUCAUGCCGCUCCUUACUCCCUAUCUUACUCUAAAGUGUAUGGGAAGGAAUAUUCUCCUGGAUCUGGGGAAGAGAACUUAGGAAUCAUCAUACCCUAUUUGGGGUAUUUUCAACCAUUACCUAAACUACUACCUUUCCACCCCAGAAGUCCAAAAUGCUUACGGAAAUCCUGAGGCCUUGCAGAUUUUCUUCUGGAAAAAAUGACAUUGCCACCAAAAUCUUUCAGGUAGCAAGAGUAGCUGCCAUUCUGUUCUUGUUUUGUUGUUGCUGUUGUUUUUCAAAGAUCUCUUUUUACAACACAAAAUGUUCAUUUUCCUCCAGAACAGAAAGUUCUGUGGAGGAGGUAAAGCUGUGUAAGAAGUAGUGCUGUGCUGUUCCCCUAAAAAAGCCUAAAGUAAAUUUGUUCCUCAGAACUAAAAUUACAAUUUACCUUUUUAAGUUUAUUAUUCUCCUGGUUAACUAGCACAUACAGUGUUUUAAUUAGAAGUAAGAAACUUUAGAUAGUUGAGAUAGAAAUUGGAUCAUGCACCAGAGGUUCUUUUGGGAGAGAUGGCACUCCCAAAGUCCAUUGGCAACCACAAAAAUCUCUGUGGUCAUUUCAGUAACUUGCUUUGUUACCAAACCUACUCACUUAUUAAACUAGCUAGACAGUUCAAUCAUUGCUCCAUUUCUGAAUUGGGAAGUAUUUCUUUAAGAACAAAACAGGGGAAUGCACUUGUUGCUAUAACAAAAAUCUGCAAACCUUAGGACGUGUGAAAAUGUUUGACUGCUGCUGAGCAAAGCUUUUGUGUCAAAGAAGAGUUUAAGAAAAAUAGGAUUUAACAUAGCAUUCCUGCUUUGUCACAGGUCUUGUGCUGCAAAUUUUAAAUUAUGAUAUUGAAGGUGACAGCAGAGUUUGUUUGGUCUGCAGUUCCAGAUUCUUCUUCAAGAGAAAAAUAUCUAAGAUUAAUUGGAUAAAAUUGGAAGAGUUUAUUGAGCUAAACUGCUGAAGACAAAGAGAAGACCUCCAUUAAGACCGGAAAUUGAGCCCACAGGAUUUGGGUGAAUUAGGUGAAGAGCAAAUAGUGACAAUCCUAUUGUAACUGAUGUGAAUGCAUUUUACACUUUUGAUUACAUAGUUUUUAUUAGUGAACCAACAUCAGCUAAAUUUGUAAGACUAAUAUGAUGUGGUUUUUUGUUUGUUUGUUUUGUUUUGUUUUGUUUUUUAAGACUUGCACAUAGAGAAGUGCAACACUAGAGAUUAAACCUCUGUUUCCAGGCAAUUCUAAAUAAGGACAGCCAAGUUAAGGCAAAUUGAGUUAGUGAUGUGAAUCCAAAUUCCAUAAAUUAAAGGGCAUUAAGCCUCUUCUGUGUCAUUUAGUUCCUUCAGGUUUAGUGCAGCUGUAGACUUGCUGAAGGACUGAGCUCAUUUCUUGUUAUUGAUUGCUCUGAAAUUUUGUGUAUUUUAGACAAAUUCCAAGAGUGAGAAAACAAAGGUUGAAAUGUGUAAAAUUAACAUACUUAUGGGAAGAGGAGAAAGUCUUACCAAAUAAGUUACCUAGAUACAGUUUGAAAGUAAACAAUAUUGCUAAAGUAAGAUCUGUUGAAGUUGAUGAAACUCGUAACAAUAAUGGUACUUGAUUAGAAAAUAUUCCCAUCUCUUGGGAGCUAUAUUCAGUGUGGAAAUCAGGGACAAAUCAGGGAAGAUACUUCUGAAGUAUUUCCAAAAUAAACAUUUUAAAUAUUUUAUUAAUAUUUAUUACCAUUUUAUCCUCAUUAAGAGAAGGCUUGGGGAGAUCUUAUCCAUAUUUACACAUACCCUAUAGGAGGGAGGAAAGAAGGCAGAGCUAGUCUCUUCUCACUGGUACCCAGGGGAAUGGAUAACAGGCAAUGGGCACAAACUGAAACAAAGGAAAUUUCAUUUAAACAUAUUUUUUUCUGUUGUUUUUGGUUUUGUUUUCCUGUGAGGCUGUCUAAACACUAGAGCAGGUUGCCCAGAGUGGUUGUGAUGUCCGUGUCUUCAGAGAGACUCAAAACCCAACUGGAUGCUUCCCUGAGGAACUUGCUCCCUCAUGGACCUUACUUUGAGAAGGGGAUUUCAACCUCAGCCGUUCUGUGAUUCUGUGUAUACAGGUAUCAUAAGGAAACCAAACUGCAUUUGUAUCUACACUGCAAUCAGGAUAGCAAAGGGAGCAGCUGAGGGCUGGCAUUCCCCCUGCAGAAGGCAGACAGCUGUGGCUGGUAAUCCCCUGAACUGCCACUGUAGGUUUUGAUAAAGCUUCUCUGGCAGAGCUCUUUGUGCUCUACCACCUUAAAAGCCAAACAACCAGGCAAUUCCUACUAUGAGCAGAGGAUGUAUGAUCACACCUGUUCCCCAGUCUCAGCAAAGUUUCUCAGCACUUACUACCUACAGGUGGUAUCGCUACAAGUCAGAAGAUUGGAUGGUUUCUUUUGCCCUUGUGCCAUUUGAUAUACUUUUUGAAUUAACAUAAGGAGUGGAAGAAACAGAAAUUGGUGAGUAUGAGAAAAGCCUUUUCUAUUGAACAUUUCACUGUGUAUAACUGAGUAUAAUUCAAAUGUAUAUUCCCUAGUGCACAAUAUCUGUAAAAUACUGAGUAUAAGUGAACAUUACAAUGGCAAUCUAGAGUUAAAUCAAAACAAAUUGGAUUUUUUUGUGUGUGUAUGUGUUUUUCUUUUUCUUUUAUUUUUACUUCAAGAACAUUUCCCAACUUAACAUUUUCCACAAGUGCUAAUUCAUUGUGUAUUCAGGUUAUGCAUGUCAAGUCACGGAUUAAGUAUAUUGUUGCAAACAUGCUUUUGGAUAUGAAAGGGAAAGGCAAGGCAAGGCAAGGCAAGGAAAGUUUUCAGACACAGUUGGGGCCUUAUUUUGAAUUAAUGUUCAUUUUUAACUUUGUGUUCAAUAUGACAAAUUUUAACAUACAUGUAAUUAGGGGGUAACCUGAUCUUGAACACACAACAAUAAACUCUAUUGGUACAAGAACUGGGGAAGUCGUUAUCUUCUUUGCAACUCACAUUUUGGAAUCCAUUUUCCCUUUGUGUCUGUCAGAAAUCAUUCAAUUUUCAGAACUUUUGCUUAUGUUGCAGUUGUGCAGAUAAAAUCACAGAGCAGGUGUAUGUUUAUAUUUCAUUAAAAAAAAAAAAGGAGUGAACUGAUCCUGUGAGGUGCUAUGCAAAUAUUUUAAAACCAAAGUUUUUUUUGGUUUGGUUUGGUUUUGGUUUUUGAUAGUGUGUAUAAUAUAAACUGAAAUGGCAAAAUUGUUUACCUCUAUCACAUCCUAUGGUUAUCACAUAGCAUCAAAAAGGGAAUAAGCCACUUAUGUAUUUUAACUGUGUUUAUGAGCUCAUUUGGAUUUUCCUCUGUUUAAUUCUGAGUUUUCUGCAUUGGAAUGGUUGUUUUGGAAAUGUUUCUGUUAUCCUUUCAAGUCACUUUGGUCUUACUUUAUUCUUAAGACUUUUGUCUGGGAAUAAUGGUGUCAUUUUCAUAGCAGUCAGACUGCAGAGGAAUCUAGAGAUGCUUUAUACAUACUUAUCAAUAAUGCAUUUUUCUGCAUUCUCAGGGGAUCAUAUUUCCAUAGGCAGCUAUAUUUAAUUCAAGAAACUGUAAGGUGAAAAAUGAACAAUUAAACAAACAAACAAACACAGCAGACCCUCCUGCUCAGGGCUUUUGUCCAAGCAGAUACAACCAUUACAGAUCAAAAUGUAUGUGUUGUACAGAAGCUAAUAAGAAUUGCUAACCUAUUGAAUACAAAUGUUAUGAACAGAUAUAUGGUCAAGAAGGUCCCUUCCAUUUGUAAAUAAUCCUAUCCUGCAUUGCUGGUUUAAGUGUAUGUUUAGCUGAGGUAAUGUGUCCCGGUGAACAGAAAGCAUCUUCUGUUCAACAUUAUGUCAGCUAUAGUGGACUGUACCCUUAUAAUCAAAACAAAGCAAGAAAACAAACAAACAAAAAAGCCAGGAAUAACUUUCACAAAAUAUUCAUAAUGGAAGAAAAUGAAUCAAUGCAUUUUUUAUAUCAGUGGCACAGGGCGUCUUGCCAUUAACCCUAGUGGCAGUAGAAUGGACUCCCAUAUGUUUUUUAUGUGUCUGACUGAAUCACAAUCAGUGCCUAGAUGUAGGUGAGGGCGUGGAUCCAGCAGAAUACGUCAAUGGAAUUUUACUCAAGUGAAUAAUUCUGUUUAAUGGGAAACUUAAAGAAGUGGUUUGGCCCUAAUUUUGCAGAAUCAUUUACAGACAAGUAAAACACAAUGGAAACAUAAGCACAAAAAUGGACUAAUAUUGUAGUGCAAUAUAAUGUAGAUUAACUGUUGAAUCACUAUUGCUAAAAUUUUUGGCUUUAUUUUAGAAGUUUAAUAUUGUAGGUUCUCCCAUUUAUUUCAGCACAUACAAUGACACAGCUUAAACUCUUCAGCUGUAGCUGUGUCUGAUUAGCGAUAGCCAUACUAGGAAAUACAUUAGUGGUACAGUUGGCUAUAUUUUAAUGCUUUUUUAUGGGGUAGUAUUGCUAAUACUCAUUUCAUGAUCAUGUAGCUGAAAAUGUUUUAAUGUUUUUUUACCUGAUUAGCAUGUGCAAUAUAUCCUGCAGGCAGCCUGCCUUCUUUGAAACAACCACCAACCCAAAAUGCAGGUCUUACUCACUGAGGUUCUCAAACUUUUUCAGAGUACUUCAUAACAGAGUGAGUCUCACAAACAACCUCACCUCCUGAGGGCACUCUCCUAAGAUCCUAUGGCAACUACUGAAGGCACUUACAUUGAGAGACAGCAUUAGGCCUGACCAGCACUGAACAUUAUAAAGAUGAGGCCAGUACAGAGCAGUAGGAGAAAGCCAGUGGCACAUUAAGAAUUCAGAAUACAGAGUUAGGAGACUCCAGAGUGAAUCAUAGCACAAUUUGGCUCAGGCCCUGAGAUAAACAUUUCAAGAGCAUUUAAACUCCUUAUUGUUUCUGCUUUGCUGCUGUUAAUGAGGAUAUCUAGCAACCCAUGACAAACCACUCUCUACAGACUGUCACGGCAGAUAAGACUGGUAAAAAAAUCUGAACGCAAAUGCUCUACAGAAAUAAAAUAGUUAACAGACUACAAUUGCAAAACAGUAUAUGAUUCUAAUGAUUAUGGUAAUAAUAAUCACAUAAAUGCUAGCAGGUACUUGUAUGAUAUUCUUCAUUCAAAAUCCUGUUUGCAUGAUCCUAUCAUAAUUAUACAAGUAUGUUAUAUUUAUGUACACAAAAUCAUAAAAUAGUCAUCAUAGAACAGUUAAACCAAAACACCCAGUUCUCUUCUGAAAAGUUUAGUCUAAAUCUCUUGUUUUAUCACCACAGUAUCAUAGUAUAGAUUUUAUAAUUUCACUAGGGUUUAAGUCUUUGUUAUGUGCAGAUUUUUCUUUGUUAAGUUGUGAAUACCAUGUGAAAAAUGAAGAAUAUAUAUUUAGUACUGAAUAGACUAAUUAAUUCCAGCUGGUGUGGUAACUUGAGAGUAUGCUGCCUAAGAAAAACAGUCUGCUAAAUCACAUUAAUGAAUAAUCUAAAAUUCAAGAUUUUUCAAUAAUCAUAUUUUGUCCCCUUUCAAAUUCCUUUGUUAUCACAGCUCAAGCUCUAAAACCUUCUGUCUCUUCUACCUCAGAGAGCAGUAUUCAUUUGUGUACAGGAAAUUUAGAAAUACAAUGAACAGUGCUUUAAGAAGACAAAAUAUCUACAAUCCAAAGGGUUCAAGAACAUCAUUAUUUAGGUAUAAUAGUUUCUUAUUUAACAAAGAGUCAAAGCUGAAUACAAAACCAAUUCUUUGUGCAAAGCAAUUCUGUAAGUGUAUUUUGAAUAAAGAAGUGUAUUUUAAAUAUGCUUUCUUGUCCAGUUUUAACAUGUACAAAUACUGAAACACUUAAUUAGAUGUCACAAGAUCAUGCUUUAUUAUAUAACUAUGUGCUAUAAACAUGCAUUUUUCCCCAAAAGAAAUGCAACACAGUCAUAUAAAUAAGAAGAAAUAUUGCUUACCUUCCUUAGCAAGUACUCCCUGGAGGCAGAGUAAAUCUGGUUAUAAAAUGAAAAACAAGAUUGAAGUGUACAACUCACACACAUACAGACAGCAGACACAGUUGUCUCCAUGAAGAAUGCCUGUUAUAGCCUUCUGUACAUUUUUUCUAACUUCUCUGUACUGUAGUUAUGCUACAAGGACUCUAUGAUUAAAAUUACAUUGUGUAGCAUAGGUAUAGGCACCAACAUACUGCAUAAAUGGCUCUUACUGUUCCAGAAGUCACACACCAUCCUAUAGAAAAUUUACACCUCCAAAACAGAGAUACGUUACAAUCAAGCAGAUUGUGGCAAAACACUGUGCCUGGCUUGUCCGUAAAAGUUGUUACUUUCAGUGAUCAGUACAUAUUCACAAAGCAUGCUAUCUUUACAUUUACAUAUGUAUAUGCAUAUGUACAGGCACACAUUUAUAAACAGAGUCACAGCCUAUCUCUCACUACCUCUUACUAAAUGCUGAAUAGGGGGGAAAAAAUCUCGUUAGGAUUACACACAAUCAUUUCCCUUGACCAUGGCUUUUGCAUUCGAUUGUCAUGUCACGCAACCAAGACCAGUGAUGCUAGAGAGCAUUUAUAACCCAGACACAAGUAAUUAUUCACAUAAGGCACCGAACUCAUUUUGGCUUCCCCUGCGACAGCACUGCUACUGCUGUAGCAGUGCAGAGCCGCUGUGCUGUUACUCAUUUGCUGCAGUCUUUGUGCAGAAGUAUACGUUAUAAACAAAUUAGUAACACAAUGACAUCCAAUGCCCAGCAACUAAAGAAAAUCAUAGAGAAUCAAUCAGCUCCUACAGCAGGCAUGUAGAUUGGCUGUAAAACCAUUUAACAGUAGAUAGAUUUUCCUGUGCUGUCGAAGUUAAAGGCACCAAAAGGAAGCAUAUACUAAGGCAUUUUUGUUCCUCUGUGAUAUUGAUCCAAUGCCAGACGUAGUAAAGCACAAUGGGCACACAGUCAGCCCUGGUAAAUUAGGUAAAUUGGAGAUCAUUUGAUGGUAUUCUAUUGUUGCUAUUGUAAUCACAGUAAUUUUCACUGGUAAUGGUGCUUCGUGAUGAAGUGCAGUUCUCACAGGAUAAUUGUGAAAGGUAUCGAAAAAUUCAGGGUGUAGCAUCUGGUUUUAAAAGCUCUUCAGAUUCAAAUUGGCAUUUUACUUUAUCUUGAAAAUUUAUUAGAGAUUCAGAUCAUGCCGGUUUAAAUGGAAAGGUGAAAGCAGGGUAAUUUCAAUCUAUGAAUUAUUCAGAUUCAGACUGGUGAAAUUGCCAUCCAUGAACUGAUUCUCUGACAGUCUCUUUUGCAGAGCCUCCAUUACGCUUGUCAUUUUUAUUUCUUUAUCUACAAUCUCUUUCUCAGUUACUGCGCUUGUCCCUUAGGGCUGUGCUUCACAAACCAAGUAUUUCAAAUUGGCAAUAACCUAAAUGUGUUGCAGUCUCAAAUCACAGUCUCCACAGGCUGUCUUUUCCAAAUCAUUAAAAACCACAUCCACGAUGGUGUCUGUUAUGCUCUUCGAUUAGAUGAAUUAAAAAAAAAAAAAAAAAAA